CAUAAUUAACACACCAACCAACAAACGACUAAACUACAAGACAGACACAGAAAAUUGCGCUCACUUGUACAGACACCUCUUAAACAGCCAAACAACCUCAGUAACAAUCUCCACGUCAAAAAGCGCAGACGUGUAAAAUAAUUGCCCUGAAGACGGUUUGCCGAUGUGCAACCGAAAUAUAUCGGAAGAAAAUUAAAA